AGUGAACGCUGGCGGUAGGCCUAACACAUGCAAGUCGAACGGCAGCACAGUAAGAGCUUGCUCUUACGGGUGGCGAGUGGCGGACGGGUGAGGAAUACAUCGCAAUCUACUUUUUCGUGGGGGAUAACGUAGGGACACUUACGCUAAUACCGCAUACGACCUACGGGUGAAAGCAGGGGAUCUUCGGACCUUGCGCGAUUGAAUGAGCCGAUGUCGGAUUAGCUAGUUGGCGGGGUAAAGGCCCACCAAGGCGACGAUCCGUAGCUGGUCUGAGAGGAUGAUCAGCCACACUGGAACUGAGACACGGUCCAGACUCCUACGGGAGGCAGCAGUGGGGAAUAUUGGACAAUGGGCGAAAGCCUGAUCCAGCCAUACCGCGUGGGUGAAGAAGGUCUUCGGGUUGUAAAGCCCUUUUAUUGGGGAAGAAAAGCAGUAGGUUAAUACCUCGCUGUUCUGACGGUACCAAAAGAAUAAGCACCGGCUAACUUCGUG
rnacentral:rRNA from 1 species